AGGUUAGGACCAGGUCUCUUACUUUGGAAGAAAUUAACAAUACAGAAGGAAUUUGCCUAUGCGCCUUUGAUGACUGGGCUACGUUUCCCAGUCAUCGGUUCACUAUGGGAUGCUCUGCUCCUCUGACUGCACCUGCCCCCAGCACAGGCGAUGUCCUCUCUACCACACACCCCCCUUCCCCAUAGACACCUCCAUGGGGUGCAGCGCUGGAACCCCAGCCCUGCCUCGUGUCACAGCAGCGCCCGGGUGAUCCAGGAAGGGCCGCGGGGACCCUGGGCAGGGAGGAGCCAGGAGGAUGGCACCCCAGACUCAGUGGGCUCUUUGUCUGCCUAAUCACAUUUUUGCAUUUUAUUUCUGGUGCUAUAGCUACUCUUGUCUCCACUUGGCUUUGGUGACAACUGUUUCCAUGGCAACAGAAUAUGCUCUAGGAUUUGUGUUGAGCCAUUCAAAGGUUUGUGCAUCUGCAAAGAAGAGCCAAGCUCCGCUUCUCACGGUCUCACCUGCAGCACUGGCCUCUUGACAGCCCUGACUUUGGGGUGAUGUUCAUCCUGGCAAAAAAACAGGCUACAGCUCCUGCCCAGCUCCUUUUCCAUCGCAGCUUUCUUCUCAGUGCAGACAGCAGAGCUUCACAGCAGCUGACCUCACUUUCCACUGUGUGUUUUUCACAUUUUUCUCAUAUACCAAGUUAUUUUGUUGUCAAAUCAGCGGGUAGGAACUUGGCUGUGGACAGUUCCUUGGCCCCACCUCUGUUCCCUCGUAAUGAGCAGUCCAACAUACCCGUGGGGUUUCACAUUGCCCUGUGUCCCCAUCAUUAAACUAGCAGUAAUUAAAUGGCAGGCCUCACUGCAGUUUCUCUUGCUUUUCCUACAGUCAGUCAUUGUUCUAUGAAACUGGAGACUGAGAGACUAAAAUCAAAAAGAAAAGGAAGGUCUGGGAACGCUGUCGUGUGUUUAUUUUGUUUGCAUUACUCAACAAAAAGUAAACUAUUCAUUUGUGGCUGCUUGCAGACUUUGCAAAGAGACCAACAACCAGUGUUUGUGCAGGCUGUUCCAUGAUAACAAGAAGAAUGGAUAAAAGACAGAGACUAUACAGAGAACACCAAAAAAACAAGAAGCCAGGAUUAAAGAAGAAAAAAAAAUUGAGUGGGUUAGUGCAAUUAGAGACUGUCAAGUGCCAUCCUCUUAUCCAGCUGGGACUGCAGCAGCUUGCUCUGGGCACAUCUUCCACUCUGCACUUGCGUUACAGAUCCCCAAAGAAUGUGCACAGCCUGUCCCAGGACAAUCAAGAACUGUGGCUCUGAUAGCCUAAGGAGUGUCUGCUUCAAAACGUGUGGUCUGCCUUUGCAGCAUCCCUUACCAUGUGAGGAUGUGUUAUCAUCACCUUCAGUAACAUCUGCUAUGAUUACUGUAACCAUCUGAAAUCACAUAGCACAUGAUUACUGCUUUUAUGAGAGGAAGCAUUUCACAAGGCAAGGCAAGAGUUACAAUAAAAUGAUUUUAUUGUUUCUGCUUCUAUAGCACGUGGCACAUAAAGAGAAUUAAGACACAAGGUGUGACUAGAAGGUACGUAUUUGUCCAUCACUGAACUCAUCUUACCCAGAAAAUCAAUGCAAAUGAAUAUCCUUCUCUGCAUUCACAAUAGUUCUGAUGUUCAGUGAAGGCUGAUGCUGUGACAUUUAGGAAAACGAAAACUGAAGUUGACCUGAAAAUUGUGGCUGAUGGAUGCAGUUCCUGCUAACCUGAUGUGAGAAGGAAUGGCUGUCUCUCUAGCAAAUUUUGUUUUGACUCAAAACCUAAAUAUUUUAAUUUAAUUUUAUUAAUUUAAUUAAUUUAAUCACAAUGGAACAAAUAGCACUAACAUAUUUAGCAACUCAGAAAAAAAAUCCAAGAUGUGAAAGCGUCCAGAAUCUGCAGCUGUCUGAUAAAGAUCAGCUGAAUUAGCUGUACUUGCAAAGCUAGUACAUAGCGUUGUAACUUCAUUUUUGGUCUCUGCAGCCAAGGAGCCAGGGAAGUUUCAUUUUUCACAAUUUGAUCUUCCUCCGAGUCUUGGGCCCUAGAAACUUUAUUCAUUAAGGAAGUGCUGAUUAUUCAAGACAAAAGUGUGGAAGUUUUUCUACUAUUAGUUGUUUUUCUAUAUUUCCCUUUACCCUUUUGUUCACCCUUUAUUACUAGGAUGAUGUAAGAAAUAAAGAUCUAGUGUUCAUGCAAGAAUAUCACCUAUUUCUGUAACUUCUUUUCCCCCUUCAUGUCUGAGCUCCACUCAUGACAACUCCAGUGCUCCACAUGAUGUGGUGAUGUUACAGGGGGGUAAAGAGCAGCAGCUACAAAGGGAGUCUUAAGAAACUGUUCAUGCAGGUAGCUCUAGGGAAACUUGAAAUACAGAAAUACAGUUCCACCCCACUCCCCACUCCCC